rnacentral:lncRNA from 1 species
UCUGGACCCAUUGGCAUCUCUCAAAUCACUGACAUAUCUAAGCAUCCUAAGAAACCCUGUGACCAAUAAGAAGCAUUAUCGACUCUAUGUGAUUUAUAAGGUUCCACAAGUCAGAGUACUGGACUUUCAGAAAGUGAAACUAAAAGUGAGUAUUGCUCACUGCUGUGAGGCAUCACAGAGUUGGCCUUUGCUUUCAUUGCCAGGUUUUUUAAAACUUGCUUAUUAAUAAGUAAAUUUUGUUGUUACUUUGAAACUUAACCUGUGGGAAAGAAAACAUUUAGUCAGGGUUGUUUGUUACUGUUUUUGUGGGGUGGUUUUGUUUUAUUCUUAGCAGUUUGUGGUAGGGCUUUGUUGGUCAUUCCAAAGUUGGCCAAACUUUGUAGUUGAA